UACGAAGGGGGCUAGCGUUGUUCGGAAUUACUGGGCGUAAAGCGCACGUAGGCGGAUUGUUAAGUCGGGGUGAAAUCCUGAGGCUCAACCUCAGAACUGCCUUCGAUACUGGCGAUCUUGAGUUCGGAAGAGGUUGGUGGAACAGCUAGUGUAGAGGUGAAAUUCGUAGAUAUUAGCUAGAACACCAGGUGGCGAAGGCGGCCAACUCG
rnacentral:rRNA from 1 species